UUCUUAUUUUCUUAAAACAAAUGAACGUAGCACGCCUGGGCGUGCAUUUAUUAGGUUGCAUUUAUUGGUUGGCGGGACAGGGGUAAGAUCUCGGCCAUGGGCCUGAAUCCGCAAAGCAGCAGUGGGGUUUUGUGAAGGACAAAAUGGCGAUGGCGGGCCGCGGCGGCGGCGGCCCUCUUUGUGAUGAGAACCUUUUCACAGACCUGUACUGAGCUCCGUGAGGAUAAGACUCUCUGAAGAGACGGGCCUUGCACAGCCGAAGUCCAACACAGUCGUAGCCCCGGAAAACAAAGCGAUUGUGAAAUCACGGGUGUUGAUUUAACGUCCUUUUGUCUGUAGGGUUCGGGCGCACAUUCGAACGCUAAAGAACGGAAAAGAGCCUUCUUCUUAGGAUGUGGUUCAGCUCAAAAGACCUUACAGGUUGGAGGAUGGGACAAGACCUAUCACUGCAAGCUAGGCAUUACAGUGAUGCUCCAGCAUCUCAUCACCAGGCAUGGAAUCCAACUGCCUCCCAAAGUGAAUACAGGUUGUCCUGAUGGUGAUACAUGCAUCUAUCUUACAGCUCCAUGCCUAACAUGGGGCUCAAACACAUGACCUCGAGCUCAAGAGUCAGUUGCUCCACGGACUGAGCCAGCCAGGCUCCCCUUGAUCUAUUCUUCUAGAUGUUCAUUGAUGAUUCUGCCCCAGGAUUGAACUCUUGGAAAGCGUUAAGAAUGGAGUAUCUUGUUCCUGUGUGCUACCCAAAAGCCUCCGGAGUUAACAGGUGCUGUUACCAGUAACCUGCUUGAUUGCUCAAAGGUGCAGUACCUUGUGUGGAGCCCAAGAAUGAUUUGAGGAACCCUCGGCCACUUUUCUGCUUGGUUCCAGUCUAAAGUCAAAGGCCUGAAGAAAGAACAAGGCACAGGAAUCCAGUUCUUCAGGAAUAUCAAAAGGAAAUUUUCAGGUCAUUUUUUGUACGACCUAGUAUGGAAAGUAGCUUAUAUUUGUUUCAGCCUUUCUAAAUAAAAAGUUUAACCUUCA